UUCGUACUCCCUCCGUUCUGAAUUACUUGUUUUAAAUUUAUCUAAAUACAGAGAUAUCUAGCACUAAAAUAAGUCUAAAUACAUUCGUAUCUAGACAAAUUCAAGACAAGUAAUUCGGAACGAAGGGAGUACUAG
rfam:Triticum aestivum genome assembly, contig: Triticum_aestivum_CS42_TGACv1_scaffold_224795_3B